GGAAAUUACUUUGGGAGGUCUGAUCAAAGGACUCAACCAUUUCAGAUGACCCAUUGAUCCUUGUCCAGAAAAUGGGCUACCAGGAAGAGCUGGGCCGGCUAUCUUUGGUCCAAUAUCAAAUUCCCAUCUCACCUUCCUCCCCAUUGCAACUCCAGAAUUUGGGUGUUAUAUCUGUUCCGUUCCGCUAAUUGAACCUGUUUCUUUACUUUUCCUUGCCAUCUGCGACACCUCUACUCGGCAUGCUUCAAGCUAGAGCUCACAAUCCCUCUGUGCUAUCUUAGAGACGAAACCAUCGCCAUCCUCAGUCACUGGUGCUCGCUGAUGUGUGGUUGCGAGAGGUAUGGAAGAAGUUUGGACGACUUCCCUCCCAUACUCCAACAAUUCGGAUGUGAACUGGACCCAAGACAGAAGAGGUUGCUGUUGUCGGAGCUCGCAAAACUAUUGGAGAAGAGCUCCCUCCAUGCUAUUCCAAACAAAAUAAAUUUUAACAUCCUCGGUGGUUUUAUGGGUGUCAAAGUAUUUCUCAGCCUGGACAAUCCAUCCCUUUGGGUCCACUCCUUUGAAUGUGGGAAUCUCGACCUUCGAUAUUGUUAAUGGAGUUUCAUUACAGAGCAAAGCUAUGGUUGUGGGUCUGGUGGCAGAAGAAUCAACAAUAGGAGUGGCAUGCUGAGUUGGGUUGGAAAUUUUUGCCUUCUCUGCUACUGCAUUGCCUUGAAUCAAAGAGAUAAACGUAAUCUCUAUUCUUGUAAACCUCUUUUCUUGUUCUAGUCUUAUUGUUGUGAGUCCUUCUUUAAUUUUGAUAAAUAUCCUCUCUAUCUGUGCAAUUAUGUUUUUUAUCUUUUCCGUUCUGUUUUCCAUUGCGGGCUCGGGAUCCGACAGGUUGGACCAUUUGAUAGAUUUAGGAACAAUUUCAAUAUUAAAGAACAAUGGAGAAUAACUGUAAUUUGAUAUUUCAAUGAAGAUGGCAGAAUGCUUUACAAUCAAUCUCUUCUCAAUUACAACUGAUACUUCUUCCUUUUACACUCUCAAAAUGACAGCAAACAAAGCAAGCAAAAUAAGAAAAUAAAGAAAUGACAACAAUCAGAUAACAAUGGGUACUAAGAGCCCCCAGAGAAGAAUCCCCGUGCAGAGAAACUCUGCCCCUCUAACCAAAGAAAUACCAGAAGUUCCAGAUACCUCUUUUCAUUCCCCUUUCUCCUCCUUAUACUAAUUUCUGUCCUCUUUUGCCAGUUGUCCCGCCACAUGCUUCCAUCCCAAUAUUCACUCAACAAACUCAUCCUUUUCUGUUACCAUCUAUUCUAGAAUACUCCAUAUUCCUAUCAUUACCUCCCCCUAAAGAACCAGCAUUGUCCUUAAGGCUGUAUUUCAAACAUAAAAGAAGUAAAUUAAGCAAUAUAAUUUCCAAAAGAAGUAAAUUAAGCAAUAGAAUUCCAAAAGAAGUAAAUUAAGCAAUAGAAUUUCCAGCAACUCCAUCAGUGUAUACAAGGCCUAAAGUAAUUGAGAGAACAGGCCACUUUAGUCAUGAUUGAGUUCAAUCCAUUCCCUUAGGUCUUGCGGAAGCAACUGCUGAUGCCUGUUGGUCCUUAUUUCUUCGAAACGGAUAGCAAGUGACCAAAGAUAGGUCUGCAUCUUCCCAAUCAACAAUGCAAAAAGGAUGAGCCCCAAUAGGGCUACUGCUAUAGAAAAUAUAACCUCCAGUGGAUGUGUGCUGGUUUGAAGACUAUAGGCAAGUGUACUCAAAUUUUGAACCCCUCGCCACAAGCAGUAACACUAUUUAGAGAACAACUUUGUAGAAGAGGCAAUACCAGAAAAAGCAUUUGAUUAAACUCCAUAGUCAAAUGGCCCAUUCUCUUCAGCUUCCACAAUGCUAGAUAAUAACAUCAUCACUGUUGUUGCCCCAGGCAGCAUAACCAUCCAUAUGUUGAUUGUCACAAUACAAGAAAUUUUUAUUACAAUUUGAAGUAUCACUAAAAGCCUUUGCCAGCAUAAAUCCUGCAACUCAACAGCUAACCAAUACUAGAACGCAUCUUCUAUCUCAUUUUCUGUAACAGUUAUCUUACCUUGAAUAACAAUUGUUAAGGACUGCUUAACACCAUCAUAUUUUUCCCAAGCGUGCCAGACAACAGUCAAAUCAACCCAAACUAAUAAUAACUGACAGUCUAAACUAUAGAAUUACCUUACUUCCUGUAGUAGAAUUUAUAAUGGAUUGCAGCACCCUCCGUGAACCAGUUUUGUAGGAGAUGGAGAAAUCUGACCUUAUUGGUUCACAAUAUGUCGGCUUGCAAGCCAAGCUUCUUGCCAUAGAGAUGACACUGAUUCUUGAGUAGACUGCCGCAAACCUCUCCCGUCAUCCUUAAGAGCCAUGCGAUGUCCCAAGUCAGAAAUUCUAGCCUGUCUAAUCUGCCCUGCUGCUGACGGAAGAAGAUGGU
rnacentral:misc_RNA from 1 species